AGUGAACGCUGGCGGUAGGCCUAACACAUGCAAGUCGAACGGCAGCACAGGAGAGCUUGCUCUCUGGGUGGCGAGUGGCGGACGGGUGAGGAAUACAUCGGAAUCUACUCUGUCGUGGGGGAUAACGUAGGGAAACUUACGCUAAUACCGCAUACGACCUACGGGUGAAAGCAGGGGACCUUCGGGCCUUGCGCGAUUGAAUGAGCCGAUGUCGGAUUAGCGAGUUGGCGGGGUAAAGGCCCACCAAGGCGACGAUCCGUAGCUGGGCUGAGAGGAUGAUCAGCCACACUGGAACAGGGACACGGUCCAGACUCCUACGGGAGGCAGCAGUGGGGAAUAUUGGACAAUGGGCGCAAGCCUGAUCCAGCCAUACCGCGUGGGUGAAGAAGGCCUUCGGGUUGUAAAGCCCUUUUGUUGGGAAAGAAAUCCAGCUGGCUAAUACCCGGUUGGGAUGACGGUACCCAAAGAAUAAGCACCGGCUAACUUCGUGCCAGCAGCCGCAGUAA
rnacentral:rRNA from 1 species